rnacentral:rRNA from 1 species
GACGAGCGCUGGCGGCGUGCUUAACACAUGCAAGUCGAGCGGUAAGGCCCUUUCGGGGGUACACGAGCGGCGAACGGGUGAGUAACACGUGGGUGACCUGCCCUCAGCUCUGGGAUAAGCCUGGGAAACCGGGUCUAAUACCGGAUAUGACUCCAUGACGCAUGUUGUGGGGUGGAAAGCCUUGUGCGGCUGAGGAUGGGCCCGCGGCCUAUCAGCUUGUUGGUGGGGUGANGGCCUACCAAGGCGACGACGGGUAGCCGGCCUGAGAGGGCGACCGGCCACACUGGGACUGAGACACGGCCCAGACUCCUAUGGGAGGCAGCAGUGGGGAAUCUUGCGCAAUGGGCGAAAGCCUGACGCAGCGACGCCG